UACUCCCUAGCCCAGUGGUAGAGGCAACAGGCUGUUAACCUGAGAAUCGUGUGUUCGAAUCACACGGGAGUAG